rnacentral:rRNA from 1 species
GACGAACGCUGGCGGCGUGCCUAAUACAUGCAAGUUGAGCGCUGAAGGUUGGUACUUGUACCAACUGGAUGAGCAGCGAACGGGUGAGUAACGCGUGGGGAAUCUGCCUUUGAGCGGGGGACAACAUUUGGAAACGAAUGCUAAUACCGCAUAAAAACUUUAAACACAAGUUUUAAGUUUGAAAGAUGCAAUUGCAUCACUCAAAGAUGAUCCCGCGUUGUAUUAGCUAGUUGGUGAGGUAAAGGCUCACCAAGGCGAUGAUACAUAGCCGACCUGAGAGGGUGAUCGGCCACAUUGGGACUGAGACACGGCCCAAACUCCUACGGGAGGCAGCAGUAGGGAAUCUUCGGCAAUGGACGAAAGUCUGACCGAGCAACGCCGCGUGAGUGAAGAAGGUUUUCGGAUCGUAAAACUCUGUUGGUAGAGAAGAACGUUGGUGAGAGUGGAAAGCUCAUCAAGU